rnacentral:rRNA from 1 species
GAUGAACGCUAGCGACAGGCCUAACACAUGCAAGUCGAGGGGCAGCACAUGAGUAGCAAUACGAUGGUGGCGACCGGCGCACGGGUGAGUAACACGUAUGCAACCUACCUGUAAGAGGGGAAUAACCCGGAGAAAUUCGGACUAAUACCGCAUAAUACUUUUGAACUGCAUGGUUUUAAAGUUAAACAUUUAUGGCUUACAGAUGGGCAUGCGUAUGAUUAGCUAGUUGGUGAGGUAACGGCUCACCAAGGCAACGAUCAUUAGGGGUUCUGAGAGGAAGGUCCCCCACACUGGUACUGAGACACGGACCAGACUCCUACGGGAGGCAGCAGUGAGGAAUAUUGGUCAAUGGGCGAGAGCCUGAACCAGCCAAGUCGCGUGAAGGAAGAAGGUUCUAUGGAUUGUAAACUUCUUUUGUAAGGGAAUAAAAGAGCUACGUGUAGCUUAUUGUAUGUACUUUACGAAUAAGGAUCGGCUAACUCCGUGCCAGCAGCCGAC